CCCUUAGAUGUUCUGGGCCGCACGCGCGCUACACUGAUGCAUUCAACGAGUCUAAAACCUGCUCUGAUAGGGGUGGGUAAUCUUUUGAAUGUGCAUCGUGAUUGGGAUAGAUGAUUGCAAUUUUUCAUCUUCAACGAGGAAUGCCUAGUAAACGCAAGUCAUCAGCUUGCAUUGAUUACGUCCCUGCCCUUUGUGCACACCGCCCGUCGCUCCUACCGAUUGAAUGAUCCGAUGAAUAUCAUGGAUUGAGGAUUAUAGCAGGUUCGCCUGUCUUGAUCUUCGAGAAGUGAAGUAAAUCUUAUCAUUUAGAGGAAGGAGAAGUCGUAACA
rnacentral:rRNA from 1 species